rnacentral:rRNA from 1 species
GGUUUGAUCCUGGCUCAGGAUGAACGCUGGCGGCGCGCCUAACACAUGCAAGUCGAGCGAGCAGUCACGGUCCUUCGGGACUAUGGCGGGCGAGCGGCGAACGGGUGAGUAACACGUGGGUAACCUGCCCCAGAGACGGGGAUAACCACUGGAAACGGUGGCUAAUACCCGAUGGCCUCAUCUGCUCUUUGGGGUGGAUGAGGAAAGGGGCGGCAGUCGAAAGGCUGUCGCGCCGCUCUGGGAGGGGCCCGCGGCCUAUCAGCUAGUUGGUGGGGUAACGGCCUACCAAGGCGACGACGGGUAGCUGGCCUGAGAGGGUGGUCAGCCACACGGGGACUGAGACACGGCCCCGACUCCUACGGGAGGCAGCAGUGAGGAAUCUUGCACAAUGGGCGCAAGCCUGAUGCAGCGACGCCGCGUGGAGGAAGAAGCCCCUCGGGGUGUAAACUCCUUUUCUGGAGGAAGAGGAAGGACGGUACCCCAGGAAGAAGCCACGGCUAACUCCGUGCCAGCAGCCGCGGUAAUACGGAGGUGGCGAGCGUUAUCCGGAUUUACUGGGCGUAAAGCGUCUGUAGGCGGUCGGGCAAGUCGGUGGUGAAAUCUCCCGGCUCAACUGGGAGGGGUCCAUCGAAACUGCUCGACUCGAGGGCCGGAGAGGGGCAUGGAAUUCCCGGUGUAGCGGUGAAAUGCGCAGAUAUCGGGAGGAACACCAGAGGCGAAGGCGGUGCCCUGGCCGGUACCUGACGCUGAGAGACGAAAGCGUGGGGAGCGAUCGGGAUUAGAUACCCCGGUAGUCCACGCCGUAAACGAUGGGUGCUCGGUGUUGGUCCCGUACAGGGAUCAGUGCCCAAGCUACGCGAUAAGCACCCCGCCUGGGGACUACGGCCGCAAGGUUAAAACUCAAGGAUUU